rnacentral:rRNA from 1 species
UGGCGGACGGGUGAGUAACGCGUGGAAAACCUGCCGUAUACUGGGGGAUAACACUUAGGAAUAGGUGCUAAUACCGCAUAAGCGCACAGCUUCGCAUGAAGCGGUGUGAAAAACUCUGGUGGUAUACGAUGGUUCCGCGUCUGAUUAGCUAGUUGGUGGGGUAAUGGCCUACCAAGGCAACGAUCAGUAGCCGGCCUGAGAGGGUGAACGGCCACAUUGGGACUGAGACACGGCCCAAACUCCUACGGAAGGCAGCAG